UACAGAGGGUGCGAGCGUUAAUCGGAAUGACUGGGCGUAAAGGGCGCGUAGGCGGUUUAUUAAGUUAGAUGUGAAAUCCCCGGGCUUAACUUGGGAACUGCAUUUGGGACUGCAAAGCUGGAGUACGGCAGAGGGAGGUGGAAUUCCACGUGUAGCAGUGAAAUGCGUAGAGAUGUGGAGGAACACCGAUGGCGAAGGCAGCCUCCUGGGCUAGUACUGACGCUCAUGCACGAAAGCGUGGGAAGCAAACAGG
rnacentral:rRNA from 1 species